UACGUAGGGGGCAAGCGUUGUCCGGAAUCAUUGGGCGUAAAGAGCGCGUAGGCGGUCCGGUAAGUCGGUUGUGAAAACUGGGGGCUCAACCCUCAGAGGCCGACCGAUACUGCCGGGCUAGAGUGCGGAAGAGGCGAGUGGAAUUCCUGGUGUAGCGGUGAAAUGCGCAGAUAUCAGGAGGAACACCUAUUGCGAAGGCAGCUCGCUGGGACGUUACUGACGCUGAGACGCGAAAGCGUGGGGAGCAAACAGG
rnacentral:rRNA from 1 species